UUUUUCUCUCUCCUGGUGUGAGUCUUCUCUUUCGUGUAGCCUACAUAUUCUUAGUUUACUCCCUCACUCUGGUGAGGUCAUGAUACAACGUCUUUCUAUGUUUCCCAGGCUGGUGUCAAACUACUGGGCUCAAGUGAUCCUCUCACCUCAGCCUUCCAAAGUGCUGAAACUACAAAUGGGAGCCACCAGGCCAGGUCUUGAAUAACUUUUGUUGCUGACCUUUUGGAAAAUUGACAGACUCCACUCACACCAUCCCCAUCCAUUCUCCCACCAUCUGCCUUCCUUCCAAGCUUAAAGAGACGGAUAUCUACCUACAAGGCAAAUCCAAUCAACCAUUAUCCUCCAAUUGCCAGACCCUGCUAGUGGCACAUCCAUCAGUACAUGAACUGAAUAUGUCACAGAGUGUAUCAAAGCUAAGGUAGGUGCCUGUCCCACCAUCAGUUGAAUGAGAAGGUUUCUGAUAUCAGAAAUUGGGCUACCCUGCUUUGCCAAGACUCUCUUUUCCAAUCUCUCAAAGGCAGAUAAUAACACUAAUGGACAAUGUGGCCAUGAGCAUUAAAACAAAUCAUUAGGCUGGAGGCUUCUCAUCAGUGCUUGAGGGCAAUUUCACCACCUGGGGCUUUCCGAGAAGGCUUUUGAAGGCUCUGAAACAUGCUCAGUCUGCAGGAGUAUGCAGGCACCCACCGUGCCCCAAGAUAUGGACUGUGGAGCGUUCAUUGUCUCAACAAUUACUCACUGCAAGGAUAGGGAAAUUUGGCGACCUCAACCUGUCCAAGUCUUCAGGAUCUGCUGCUGCCACUGUUCACUGCAAUUCCUUAGGUUUAGCUUAAUUGGCGCCAUUGGGAACAUGUAGAAAUUCAUUUUAGAGAGUGCUACCUUGAUGACUUAACGGUCUUACAAUAGUAGGCAGAGACAGAAAGGGAAAAUGAACCGGUUCUCUGGAUUUAUUCUAGUCAAACACAGAGCCAGGCUGAACAGGGCUUUUGCUGCUCCAUCUUUGAGUUCCUGGGCAACUAUGUGGCUCCCUGAGCUUUUGUUAAGAAAAGCAGAAGCACCAGGGCACCCAGAUCCUGACGGCAUGUGGUAGGUGGAGAUUGCUCUCCUGCCCUGCAAGUUGGGCAAAUAGGAUGAAAAUUUCUGCACGUUUGAAGCAGAAAGAACAAAGAACAGAGACAGAUGGGGAGUGGAGCAAGAUGGUGGAAUAUGACUCUGUAGUGAUCAUCCACCCACAGAAACAUCAACUUGAGUAACUAUUCACAUGCAAAAAACCUUCACAAGAGCUAAGGAAACUAGAGGAUGCAGCACUCAAGGCACCACCUUGGGAGCAGAGAUCAGGCCCUCACCAGACACCAAACUUGUUGGUGCCUUGAUCUUUGACUUCCCAGCCUCCAGAACUGUGAAUUCCUGUAACACAAUCUUCACUUAUGUUUUUAUUAACACGUAAAACAUCUUUACCUCCACUGUCUUCUCUUCAUAAAAAGAUAAACACUACAGAUUGCUACAGAUGAAUGCUACUGACAUGCUAAAGACUAUAUGACAAUUCCUUUUAAAGUCAGACACUCAAUUGUGAAAGAUGUGUGAACAAUCCAAUGAUGGAUGUCCGUUAGUUCAGUGCUGUCAAGCUGAGUUACUACUCCACAUCUCUGAUACUGAUGCUGUUUUUGCAGUCAUGAUUGAGUCGUUGAAGAAAAAAGCACUCUACAGAGUUCUGCCCAACUGUGUCCAAACAAGCAGCAACUUGAAAUAUCAUUGGCUUACUCAGCAGCAUCAGAACCCACAAAGCAAAGAGGUUAGAUCCAUCCAAGAGACUUUUCUGCAGCAGUAAAUGGAUUUGCCCUCUUUAGAGCAGGGAGCACAGCUCCAACACAAUUAUUCUUAUUGGAACAGACUAAGGAAUUUACUUCAAAUGAGGUUGUUGGUUGUCCUGUGAAAGCUGUGUCAGAAUAAAUAUUCAACUGCUCUUUGGAGGCAUAAUUUGUUAGCCCGUGAAUCAUUUGUGACC
rnacentral:lncRNA from 1 species